AGCUCAUCCAGAGGGACUGAGGGAACGGCCCGUUGAAGUCCCGGCAACCCUCCCGCACGGCCAGCAGGCCCGGCGGGACAGGUGCCAAUUCCGUCCCGGACGCGACCGCGCUCCGGGGAAGAUGAGGA
rnacentral:ncRNA from 2 species